CAUAACAUAUUGUAAGUUUGGCAAAUGCACAACAUAUAAUACGAAUUGUUAUUCGUAACAUAUCAUAUGAAAUGGUUAAUGGACACCCAUAAAUGAAUACAUAACAUACGAAAAGUAACAUAUUAUAGUAAAUUAAGUGUCUUGGAUUUACAUACAGAAUAAUACAAAAUGCUCUGAGACCAGGUUGCAACCAUUAACAUUUUAGGGGAAAAUGAAUAUCUUUAGUCCUGAGUUGUCUUUUUUCCCCACCUUCAUACCCCCAUUAGUAUGAUGUACAUCUUAUAUUUGAUACAAAAUCCCUUUCUUUAUUAGCAACUCUGUGCUGUUACACAUGUUUCCUGCCAUCUCUCCUAUGGACUGCCUCAAGUUCCCUCAGGAGUGUCCUGCCGGGCAACGCUGACGAGCUAGCACAGCAGUGGAGAUGCAAGGCUCCCUGCAUCUGGUCCUGUAUGAGAAGAACUGUGCCAGUCCCUCUCAAUGUGGUUUAUCUGGGGAGAAACACACUGCAUGCCUGAACUUCACCUACCAAAAUUACUGUGACACGGACCUGUGCAACGAGGCUAUGGCCCAUGCUGCCCCCAUCUGGAGGGGAGGUGCACUGUGCAUCCUAGUUAUUUUCUCUCUCAUACUAUAAGCUGAUAUCCAAAUGUAUUGCAUUUUAUAUGUACAUUCCUCAUCACACAGUAACAUGCACAACCUAUACUGUAAUGGGAUGAAUCCCACUAACCAAAAAAAUCUCAUUAUAGACAUACACAGUUUGACACACUGACCGUGCCUUGUUUACAUGUAGGCUUAGAACUCACAUACAAUACACACACACACACACACACACACAGAGAGAAACACCCACAGAUGCAUCCUAAACAGUAGUGCACAGUCACAGUCACCUGAGGGUAGAAAUGAGUCAUAUGUCUAUUGAGACAUAUGACAGUGUUAAAAUGACAAUGAAACUAGUGGCGAAACAUAAUCCAUAUGUUGAUCAAAUCUGCAUUCAUUUAUAAGAACAUUUGUUUAAAUAAGGGUUAAUAUGGCUUUCUAACUAUUCUACUUUUCUAUGGUGCUAUAUAUAGCAUAACUGUUGAAAAAGGAUUGGCAGCCAUUAAUAAACAAACAAGUAAAGAAACAGUAACCUAUUGUGGUUUUAUUUUGACCGUCUUUUCAGGAUGAUUAAAACCUACAAAAGAAAUACUAAGUUUGAUUGUCAUUGACUCAAUGUACACAACAUUAUCUAGGUUAAGUGCUAUUGCCUUCGAAUAAAAUUGAAGGUGAAGUAAAGGGCUAAAAUACGUGGAUGCAUCAAAAGUUAGGAAGAAAAUAAAAACAAAAAUGAAGAUGGGUCUUUAAAAAAGAGGAUGGGUUUGAGGAGGGGUUAAAGAUGGAAAAUAGAUAUGUAUGAAAUGGAGACGUAAAGGUGGAUAAUACAUUAAAUAAUAAUUAAAGACGAAUGUAAAAAGUCCCUGAAGUCAUCACUAAUCUUACAGUAAAAGGAAGUUUAAAAAAACAACUGUUACAAGCUUCAGUAAAGGAAAAUACUAGAAUACAACAGGCAACAUUGAAAUGAAGACUUGGUCUCUUUUUGACAAAUAGUUAUGACAACAGGACUAUAGACAAUUGACCGGGUAAAAGUAGGUCCAUAGAAACCAAAUAAAAUCCAUAACAUAAAGGAUUCAGUCAUGUAAAAUAGUAAUGGGUUUUAUGAAGAUUUUUCUUAUCUAUCAGCUGUGGAGGACAUGUAUGGGUUUUAAACUACAGAUUCAUCCCACGGUUUGAUGACUGUUUAAAAUAGCUGACAUAACAAUGCCAACUCAGAUGCCAAAUAUAUUGCAAAUGACAUCUUCAUGUUUGUACUAUUCAAUAACGUGAAUUGCACUUAGUGACUGUCUUACAAAACCUUACCCUGGAAGACAUACAAAAUAUAUAGGUUCUGUCUUCACUAAGCUGUUGUAAAUGUAUGUCAUUAUCAUGAAUGCACCGUCUAUCAGUCAGGCUGAGAGCUCUAUUCAAUCUGUAUCACUGAAUCGUUACAGAUUGUGCAAUAGAAAUUCAAAUGUAAUUUCUGACUGAGCCGGCAUAUGCAGCAUUUACCGUGAAUGCAGUCUCCACUAACGCGGUAACAUUGCCUUUGAAUUUCAAUCACGCUGUAACGCUGACCUAUGGAUUAAAUAGAGCCCAAACAAAUAUGUCCAGUUCUUUCCCAGGGGACUGAAUUUCAAGUCAAUGUAAAAUGGAUGACUUAUUAAGUCACUACAAAGCCUUAGUGCUGAACGAUUAACUGACAUUUCGUUUUUUCCAGGUUAUUAAACAACUAAUGGACCAAAGUCUGUUAAAUUACUUGAAUUCCAUUUAGUUAGUCAAAUAAUUCAGAAAAUAAAUGAUGUCAAGAACUAUGUGGGACUCCGGGCUGAAGGGAGUUGUUUUCAUUUAACAAAUAUUCAACAUAGUUCAGCGCAGAAACGUCAUAAAUAAUUACAAUGAUCACAAUCCAUUGUGCCAGUUUUCCCCCCAGCUCAAACAGAUCAGAGGAAGAGGCCAAACGAGAGGUUUCACUUUCGCAAAAAUCUCUCCAAAAUAAACCGAAUGCAAUGCGCUUGGAAUGACUUACGCUUUUCGUUUGCCUUCCCGCAUUUGCGACGACUCUCAUUAUUAGGGCGGAGAAAUUAGCAUCUCGUCAUUGUAUACUGAUCUCAGGACGGAUACACUUUUACGCAUGCUACGUUAGGUUAGAUACACAGACUGAAUAGACCACACGAGAGAGGAAUAUACACAACGACGAGAGGGACAGAGACAGUUAAUGAAAGUAUGCCUUAUCUACUUUGAAGAUCUAGUCAAAUGAUUUCGUGAGAAAGCUCUGCAGCAUACUUAGGCAGGCUAGCUAAAUAGGAUGACUAAAGACAGUAUAGUAUGGGGAGGACGUAAUGUUACAUGGCCUGGCUGGCUGAUUGCUACUGCCUGAGCAGAGAUGAGAUGAUUACUUUAAGGAAUUAAAAAUAAUAAU